GCCUCCAUAGCUCAGCGGCAGAGCGGCUGCUUCGUAAGCAGCAGGUCGAGGGUUCAAAUCCCUCUGGAGGCU
rnacentral:tRNA from 1 species